rnacentral:rRNA from 1 species
UACGGGGGGAGCAAGCGUUGUUCGGAUUUACUGGGCGUAAAGGGCGCGUAGGCGGCCACCGCAAGUCAGUUGUGAAAUCUCUGGGCUUAACCCAGAACGGUCAGCUGAUACUGCGGGGCUAGAGUGCAGAAGGGGCAACUGGAAUUCUCGGUGUAGCGGUGAAAUGCGUAGAUAUCAGGAAGAACACCAAUGGCGAAAGCAGCUCUCUGGGACGGUACUGACGCUGAGACGCGAAAGCGUGGGGAGCGAACAGG